rnacentral:rRNA from 1 species
AUNGUAACAAGGUCUCCGUUGGUGAACCAGCGGAGGGAUCAUUA